rnacentral:pre_miRNA from 1 species
UGAGGUUGGUGUACUGUGUGUGGGUAUACAUAUUUAUCCCACACAGCCACUAUGUUUCAAA